rnacentral:rRNA from 1 species
AACGAACGUUGGCGGCGUGGAUUAGGCAUGCAAGUCAUACGGGAUCCGGGGUAACUCGGGUCUAGUGGCGAACGGGUGAGUAUCGCGUGGGAAACCUGCCCUUGAGACGGGGAUAACACCUCCAACGGGGUGCUAAUACCGGAUAAGACCACGGAGUCGCAUGGCUCUGCGGUCAAAGGUGGCCUCUACUUGUAAGCUACCACUUAAGGAUGGUCCCGCGUCCCAUUAGCUAGUUGGUAGGGUAAUGGCCUACCAAGGCUACGAUGGGUAGCUGGUCUGAGAGGAUGGUCAGCCACACUGGGACUGAGAUACGGCCCAGACUCCUACGGGAGGCAGCAGUCGAGAGGCUUCGGCAAUGGGGGAAACCCUGACCGAGCGACGCCGCGUGGGCGAUGAAGGCCGUUAGGUUGUAAAGCCCUGUCGAGCGGGAAAAAUUGUAGGCGGGUGAAUAAUCCGUUUAUUUGAUGGUACCGUUAAAGGAAGCUCCGGCCAACUCCGUGCCAGCAGCCGCGGUAAUACGGGGGGUGCAAGCGUUGUUCGGAAUCAUUGGGCGUAAAGAGCGUGUAGGCGGCUGGAUAAGUCAGAUGUGAAAUCCCUGGGCUCAACCCAGGAAGUGCAUUUGAAACUGUUCGGCUUGAGUAUGGGAGAGG